rnacentral:lncRNA from 1 species
AUUGAUAGUAUACAUGUUACUUUACAAUAACCUCAUUCACCGUCAAGAAAUUAUUCAUUCUGACAAGAUUAUUACCCGCAUCAACGUGAUACUAUAAUUUCAAGUUCCGUGAUUCAAUAAAUUGGUUAUCCAAUGAAAAUCAUCCGCCUGUUAAGGUGUUAAAUAAUCGACAAUAACGAUCCGAUUAUGACACAAUAUAACAGGAACAGUUUUCGACCGGAACACGCCCAACAUCGUAAUCGAAAAAAAUUUCACGACACACGUGGACCCUCCACCGGUAUGUAACAUCGGGUUAAUUAACGCGAUAAAUCAAUUCUACUCAAGGUCGUGCAAAGACCGGUAAUCAGCGUAGACGGUUAAGAGUGGGGAAAUUCUGUAUGCAAGGUGGGAGCGUGUUGCGCAGGCUCGAGAUUCUCGGUCGGAAAAGACAGAGCGGCCAUCUCUGUCGUUCCUCGGUCGUGCAGUUUUGAUUAGAGAGCGUCUAUCGCGCGUCGUAGCGCUCGUAGCGGCGACAGCCUCAAAAAUAGCUGAGGCCUCCUCGCAGGCUGGCACACUCCCAACGGUCUAUACUUGGACAUCCCUGCGCCAUGAUUAUUUAUAGUGAGCGCGAGCGCGGCCACUGGCCUUCCCGCGAACUAACUAACCGCCUCCAAAGACGAUCCGUCGCCCGUGACCUAGGCCCGCAUUAAUAACGAUUACACUCCUGCGCUCAGGAAUACGACAACUUAACCUCUCGCUCUUCUACAAUGAAUCCUCGUUUCGCUUUAUCUUUUUAUUUAUACGACUUAUAAGUGGUUAAAUAAUGGUUAAAUAGAUAAAUAACAAUUCAUGUUAAAUGAAUGAUCAAGAUUGUAAAUGUUAUAGAUGUCGCUUUAAAAGUUUAUUUCUGUGUAACCGAACGAAAACCACUCCGGCUUACUUUCACGGCCACGAAAAAAGGCGAAUCAUUUUCCAUCCGCACGGAUCAUAAUUUUGCGCCGCAUAACGGACUCGUGUUGGAGAAAGAAUCUUCGUGUGAAAGCUUCUCGAAAAAAAAGGAAGAAGAAGAAGAAGAAGGGAGAGUGAAAAUAAAGAAGAAACAAAACGCAACAUGGGAUCGAUCCUCGAGAAUACAGGAAAAAUUUCUAUAAUAUCAAUUUCACGCGCGAAAUUUGGAUGCCCACGAAUGUCACUGUUUCUAAUAAUAACAGAAACAAAGCGAGCCUCUUGAUGUUCGUCCAGAAAGCUAUAAUAUAUCGCAUCGAUCCUCGCGAACGUUUCAUUCGAUGCGGAGGAAAUUGUUCGUGUCUCGUCCGUUUGGAAAACUUGGAUCGUUUGGAUCAGAGAGAGGAAAGUAUACGUGAACUAGUUUCUAAGAAAUAUACGCGUUUACGAAUUGUCCGAGAAAACACUAUAAACUUAGGGUGAAAUCUUUUAAACUGUAAAUUUUUAACGAUUCGAUAACAUUCAUUAUGAUAAUGUUGGAAUGAUAUCGAGCAACAUAAAUUUUGGGAAAAUAUGCUAAUAGAUUAGGCAUGAUGUAAGACAGGAAGUUUGUAUCAACUUCUCGUUUAAAUCAAUCGUGAAUUGGCAGGAAGAUAUUUUUAAAUGGAGGUAUUAAUAGUAGAUAAUUAUGUUGAUCAUCGACUUAUUUUCAUCUCGUUUACACCUAAUU